UAUAGUAUAAAAAUUUGACAUCACUUGUUGGAACUGUGUUUAAUGUUGAAAAUUUUUGGUAAAUUUCAUCAAGUUUAUUAAAUUAGAGUUGCCAAAUUCUUGAAUGUUGAUAAAAGAGUUGAAAUGGCUUUUUUUUCAGAAAUGUAGUUUCAGAGAAGUCACAUGGUGAUGUAGAUGAAGUUUCUGAUAACAUACCACUAAAGCAGAGAAAAUUACCAGCAUACAUCUCUAUUAACAAGACAAGUGAGGGUCACAAGGUAGACAACCUUCCACCAGUGGAAACAUCAGGACAAAACAAAAAAUUGAAGAUCAAGCCUGAGUUCUGAUCCUGAGAACCGUAACAUUAAGGCUGCUGUAAGUAAACCAGUAAAGAAGAGUGAUACUUAGUCAUGUUUUAAUUAAUUUUACUUUAUAUUUGUCAGAAUUUUAGGUGAAAGAAACCAUCAAAGAUCCAUUGAGAUUAUUUUAUGUAUUUGUAAAAAAAACAACAAAUAAAAUUUAUAUUAUGAACAA